rnacentral:rRNA from 1 species
AUUGAACGCUGGCGGCAUGCUUUACACAUGCAAGUCGAACGGCAGCGCGGGCUUCGGCCUGGCGGCGAGUGGCGAACGGGUGAGUAAUACAUCGGAACGUGCCCAGUAGUGGGGGAUAGCUCGGCGAAAGCCGGAUUAAUACCGCAUACGACCUGAGGGUGAAAGCGGGGGAUCUUCGGACCUCGCGCUAUGGGAGCGGCCGAUGGCAGAUUAGCUAGUUGGUGGGGUAAAGGCCUACCAAGGCGACGAUCUGUAGCUGGUCUGAGAGGACGACAAGCCACCCUGGGACUGAGACGCGGCCCAGACUCCUGCGGGAGGCAGCAGUGGGGAAUUGUGGACAAUGGGCGAAAGCCUGAUCCAGCAAUGCCGCGUGUGUGAUGAAGGCCUUCGGGUUGUAAAGCACUUUUGGCGGGAACGAAAAGGACUGUGCCAAUACCACGGUUCGAUGACGGUACCCGCAGAAUAAGCACCGGCUAACUACGUG